AUUAGACGAAUCAUCUGGAAAGAUGAAUCAAAGAAGGUAAUAAUCCUGUAGUCGAAAAUGUUGUCUCUCUUGAGUGGAUCCUGAGUACGACGGAGCACGUGAAAUUCCGUCGGAAUCUGGGAGGACCAUCUCCUAAGGCUAAAUACUCUCUAGUGACCGAUAGUGAACCAGUACCGUGAGGGAAAGGUGAAAAGCACCCCGGAAGGGGAGUGAAAUAGAACCUGAAACC
rnacentral:rRNA from 1 species